rnacentral:tRNA from 1 species
GGGCCCGUAGUAUAAUGGCAUUAUGCUUGGCUGGCAGUCAAGAGACUCGAGUUCGAUUCUCAAUGGGUCCA